UACGUAGGGCGCAAGCGUUGUCCGGAAUUAUUGGGCGUAAAGAGCUCGUAGGCGGUCUGUUGCGUCGGAUGUGAAAGCCCGGGGCUUAACCCCGGGUCUGCAUUCGAUACGGGCAGACUAGAGUGUGGUAGGGGAGAUCGGAAUUCCUGGUGUAGCGGUGAAAUGCGCAGAUAUCUGGAGGAACACCGGUGGCGAAGGCGGCUUCCUGGACCGACACUGACGCUGAUGAGCGAAAGCCAGGGGAGCAAACGGG
rnacentral:rRNA from 1 species